GGUCGUCAGUGUGUUUCCAGUGGCUGCGAGAAGGGGCAAAAGAAAUGCUGCUUGGUGUCUGCUCAUGGCUGCAAUUGUCGAUGCGUAUAUAAUUUAGUGCGGUGCUCAACUGCUUUGCUAGGAUCGUGUGCCGACAAACAGGAGCCUAGAUGCGAAACCAAAGGUACCGAAGAGGUUUGUGCUUGCGCUGAUCUACUGAAGGCUUCACAAAAUAUGAACAAGACCAAUAGCAACUCUGUGCCAACGCCGGCAAGACUGAAGGUGACGUAACUGAAGAAAGGC
rnacentral:lncRNA from 1 species